GCGUUAGUGGUGUAACGGUAACAUUCAACCCUUCCAUGAUCUCCUGCGAUAGCGAAAUCGAAAGGUUGGGCCCUGGGUUCGACUCCCAGCUAACGCA